rnacentral:tRNA from 4 species
CGCAGGGUAGAGCAGUUGGCUAGCUCGUUGGGCUCAUAACCCAAAGGUCGGAGGUUCGAGUCCUCCCCCUGCUA